rnacentral:lncRNA from 1 species
GCAGCCGUGAGGCGGAGGACAGGCUGGGGGAUCCCAAAGGGUCCGCUCCAGCCCCCAACCCAGGCACUGGGACUCUGGUGGCACCCUGGGUGGCAGGCAAGCCUUGAAAUCAAGUGCACGAGCCUUGGAAAGGAGGACCGGGAGAGUUAUGGCAUUUAUGAAUAAAGAAGAGAAAGAGAAUCACUCGGAUGGGAAAAGUUAACUGGAUUGUUCCCACCUGCAUGGAUCACCGGGAUGAAGCUGUGCCACCCUGUAGGAAUUAGAAGACCACGUCCAGGAAUUGAGCAUCGGGUGCAGGAUCCAGUCUUCUGAGGCCCUGAAACCACAUGUGGUCCUAAUAUGCUAUUUAGAAAAUACAAAGUGGAAAGAAGAAAAAUGAAAGUCACGCAUCGUCCUUCAACCCAGGGACAACUCCUGCUAACACUCGGAUGGAUGAAUUUUACAUAUACAUAUAAAUAUUCUCAUCUACAGUCAAAUUUAAUAAUGUGAAUGCCUU